CGCUGGACCGCGAAGCCCACAAGAACCUGAAGCUGGACACCAGCCAGGCCGUCGUGGCCCG
rnacentral:tRNA from 1 species